UGUUUGAACGCAGCCUUCCUUCUUACUUAUUUUUCUUCCUUCUUCCUCUUUUCUCUUUUCUUCUUUUAUCUUCUUGAAUAUUCCUCUAUCUCGGUUCCACCCGAGAGACACAAGAACGAGAGAGAUGAGAGACAAAGACGGAGAGAUAGUUGAGAGUGAGAGAUGAAAUCGAGAGAGAGAUCGAGAGACUGAUAGAGAGAUGAGACUUGAGUGAGAGAUCGGGAGAUGAAGGGACAGAUCCGAGAGAUUCUGAUCGGAGGGAGAGGAAGAUCGGACCCGAUCUUCCAUGGUCGCCGGUAGGUCGACUCCGGUGAUGCCUAGGACCCGAUUUUCUGGUGGAUCGUCUUGCAACUCAUGAGACUCGUUGACCCGAGACCCGAGGGCUUGAAGGCUGAUUUUCCGGUGGUCCAGUGAACGAUUUCCAGCGACUUCUGGAACUGAUUUUCGGCGAUUCCAUAGUGAUUUUUCGGUGACUGUUUCGGUGGUUUCCCUUUGCCUAAAUAGAAACUCUCAAGGAUGAUGAACUGAGACUGCACAAAAGGGCUGUUUCGAAGAUUAUGGAUUGGAUUAACUGCUAGUUUAAGAGAUCUAGAGCUAAUGUACUUAGGUUCCAUUUCUUUGUAAUUAUUAAUGUUUGUACUAUUUUGCAUGUAACAUGUUUAUUGAUUUACUUGUAUGUAGUAAGUUUCCAUGCAUGCUUUCGUGUCACAUUUGACACGUGUUUCUUUGUAAUUAUUGUGAAGGACUUUUAAUGAAUGUCUUGAGGAAUUUCUCUUAGCUCAAUGUAUUGUGUUAUAAAUCCCAAGUCUUUAUGUAAAAAUUGUAUUCUGUUGGUAUUUUUAUAACUCUGAUGACGUCUAACGUCACGUGCAAAAAUCAAAAUUUUCACUUACGUCUUUUUGUAAAAGGCGGGUCGUUACAAGAUGUAUUGGCAUGCCUAUUGAUGAGUGUCAAAUAUUGUGUAUUUAAACUCCUUAAUUUACAUUAAUUAAUCAUUUAGCUUUGUUAUUUUUUAAUGUUUUUUGUUAGUUUUGUGUCUUAGUGUUUUUAUAGGUGACCGAGAGAAAAUGAUGGUUUUUAUGUGGAAUUGCAAAGAAGCGGAAUUAUUUUUCAGAGUCGGGUUAAUUUUUACCCAAAACUUCAAAGCUUCGGAGCAAAUUUGGAAAUAAUGAUUUUUUAUUUUUAUUUUUUUUUAAUUAAAAGACACGUGUGUGUUGCGCAAUGGAAUUUUUAGUUUGGCUAAUUAAGAGCCGAGAAGCUAGCACCGACUUGCAUCAAUCGAAGAAGACACGUCCUUCCUUAGAGAGCAGUCGAAUCCAUGCAAUACCUGGCAACAAGAUUCUUUCCUUAAUGAAUUCAAUUCAAAAACUGGACAGCGGCAACCAACAAAGAGACAGCAACAAAUCCUGGUACAACGUGGAGAUGCAGCAGCCAAGACACACGUACAAGGAAAGAAGGCCAUAAAAAGGCUUCUAAAGGCUGGCUUCAACGUCUAGGCUUGCCAGCAAAGAGAGUUUUCCAUACUUGGGCUACAGGAAGGGGCGCAACACGUGAUUUCUCUCCAUAUAUGGACCGAAUAAGAGUUGUUUACACCUGUAACCACGCAUGGACAUAAUUUCUUUCCACCUGCAGUAGCUCUUCAAUUGAUUUUCUUUCCUUAAGAAGAAUCAGCCUUAGACACACAUGGAAAGCUAGGCAGCACCGAAUCAACAUAAUCAUGGGUCUCCUUAGGAGAGCAGCAACGUGGAUUCCAUGAAGUGCUCCUCUCUCCAUAAUUGAAGAUAUGUGAUGGACAGCAAAGAGUUGCACCAAAUAAGACCUAGGACUUGGGCUAUAUAUAUUCUCUCUUUUCUCUUGUAAAAGGUGUGGAGGGUGAGAGGCGCAAGCCUGCAGCCACACCAAGACAUGUAGAGUUUGCAAGUUUCUUUUAUGUUUUUAAUAAAAUUUAGUUUUUUAUUUUUAUCCAUGAGUAACUAGUUUUUUUGCAACUAAGGUUGAGGAUGAAACCUCACCUUUGAAGAGCAACAAUAUUUUCAUGAGAGUUUAUGCUAUUCGAUUUUAUUGGGUUUAA